UGAACGCUGGCUACAGGCUUAACACAUGCAAGUCGAGGGGAAACGACGGGGAAGCUUGCUUCCCCGGGCGUCGACCGGCGCACGGGUGAGUAACGCGUAUCCAACCUGCCUCUGACUGAGGGAUAACCCGUCGAAAGUCGGCCUAAUACCUCAUGGUAUCGUCUGCGGGCAUCCAACGACGAUUAAAGAUUUCAUCGGUCAGGGAUGGGGAUGCGUCUGAUUAGCUUGUUGGCGGGGUAACGGCCCACCAAGGCUACGAUCAGUAGGGGUUCUGAGAGGAAGGUCCCCCACAUUGGAACUGAGACACGGUCCAAACUCCUACGGGAGGCAGCAGUGAGGAAUAUUGGUCAAUGGGCGAGAGCCUGAACCAGCCAAGUAGCGUGCAGGAAGACGGCCCUAUGGGUUGUAAACUGCUUUUAUGCGGGGAUAAAGUGAGGGACGUGUCCCUCAUUGCAGGUACCGCAUGAAUAAGGACCGGCUAAUUCCGUG
rnacentral:rRNA from 1 species